rnacentral:lncRNA from 1 species
UUUUCGAGACAGGGUUUCUCUCUGUAGCCAUGGCUGUCCUGGAACUCACUUUGUAGACCAGGCUGGCCUCAAACUCAGAAAUCCGCCUGUCUCUGCCUCCCGAGUGCUGAGAUUAAAGGCGUGGGCCACCUCGCCCGGCUAAAAUACCACUUUUUAAUAACUACAUUUGUGUGCACACACCUGACAGUGCACAGGUAAGGGUCACAGGACAACUCUCUUGUCAGAGUCCGUUCUUUUCCUUCUAUGAUGUGGUCCCGGGGAUUGAACUCGGGUCAUCAGGCUAGGCAGGCAAUACCUUUACCAAUUGAGCUACCUCAUUGGCCCAGUAAUUAGCUGUUUAUAUUUAUCAAGACCAAAGAAAUCACUUACUCUUUUUUUUUAGUGUGUGGGAGUUUGUCUACAUGUAUGUAUUCAUAUGCACCACUUGCAUGUCUGAUGCCCAAGGAGACCAGAAAAAUUCCCUCUAACUGGAGUUAUGGAGAGUUAGGAGCCGCCAUUUGGGAUGGAGCCAGGCCGGCGCUCCAGUCUCCGCACACUCCUUUUUAUUCCUUUCUUAAGAGUCUAGCCCAGGGAAGUGGUCCAAAUUCAAGGGAAAGCUUGUGUGUAGGAAUCUUGGUUGGGAUGUUGUUUAUAAUAGCACUGAAAAUGGUCUAGAUGACUGGGCUGGCAAGCAUAGUUAAAUAAAGUACAGUAUGCCCAGAGGGUGGAGUGAUAACCAGCCAUUAAAAUGUUGCUUAUAAGAAUAUGGAAGCAUGCUUAGGUUUAUGUUAUGGGAGAAAGAGAGCCUAAAUAACACAGAGACCAAGUGUAGUGAUGCACACCUUUAAUUCCAGCAUCCGGAAGCCAAGGCAGGUGGAAUUCUGUGAGUUCAGGUCCAACCUGGUCUAUGUAAUGGGUUCAAGGAUAGUCAAGGAUGCACAUACCUUUCUUAAAAGAAGAAAAAAAUUGCACAAAGAUUGCUAGAAAGAGUAUCGCCUUGUUAAUUUGAUUACCCUGGUUAGGUCGUAAUAAUUAAGUAUCCCCUUUCUAGUCUAUAUAUGUUCUGACAAGAGCUCUCCCUUAGAGCUACACUUACAACUCUUUAGUUUCUGUGUUUUUGGUUUUGUUUUGUGUGUGAAUUUUCUCACUGUGUAGCUUUGGCUGGCUUGGAAUUCUUUUUUUUUUUUUUUUUUUAAGAUUUAUUUAUUUAUUAUAUGUUAGUACACCUUAGCUAUCUUCAGACACACCAGAAGAGGGCAUCAGAUCUCAUUACAGGUGGUUGUGAGCCACCAUGUAGUUUCUGGGAUUUGAACUCAGGACCUUCGGAAGAGCAGUCAGUGCUUUUAACCGCUGAACCAUUUCUCCAGCCCCCAGCUUGGAAUUCUUGUAUGGACCAGACUAGCCUCAAAUUUGAAGAAGUCUGCCUGUCUCUGCUUCCCAGAGAUGAACUUUGGGGUCAAAGUGUGCACCACCAUACCCAGUUCAGCCCUAUGGUUUUGAUUUUAGGAUGUUAAAGCAUUUUGGGGGAGCGGGGGUUGAGACAGGGUUUCUCUGUGUAGCCCUGGCUGUCCUGGAACUCACUCUGUAGACCGGGCUGGCCUCGAACUCAGAAAUCCGCCUGCCUUUGCCUCCCAUUAAAGGCAUGCACCACCACGCCUGGCUGUUAAAGCAUUUUUAUAGUUAAUAAAUAAAUCCUUAAAAGUUGUAUCAUCUUUGGAAUACCAAACUGUUUUUAAUAUAUUUACAUAGUGUGAUAAUUAGCACCUUAAUUUCAUAUAUCACCAUCAGGAAUCACUUUUUACCACCCCUCCCUGCUUCUGACAAACACAAAGCUAUUUUUAUCUGUAGAUUUGUCCAAAUGAAGUCACAUACAGUUAUCUGGCCUUUUAUGGACAACAUCCUUCCUGUAAAAUGUAUCAAAUAUUCAUAGUGCAGCAUGUGUCUGGAAUUCAUUUCUUAUAGCUGGAAGCAUCCCUUUUCAUAGAUAAGCCUCAUUUUGUUUGCCCCUUAGGCAAACAUCUGAGCAUUUGGGUGGACAUUCUACAGCCGUCAUGAAUAGCACUGCAGUGAACAUGCCCACACAGACCACUCUGAGCAGAAGUCAGUCUGCAUGGAAGUCUUGUUUAGGGAUGUGUGAUGUGUGUGUCCUCUAUACCGUCACUUGGCUGGAUGUUGCCGGCUGCUAGUCUGGCAAGAUUCCAUUUGCCAUCUAGAGUGUAUAUAUAGAGCUUGUACACUGUUGCAGCUUAUUCUUUGUGUUUUCUGUUAAGAAACAGACCCUGGUGGGCUGUGCUAUCAUUACUGCCCCUUGCAGCUAUGGGCAAUAAGCCUGUUUUCUUCUUGCUUUAAAGAACAAAAAAUGGAUCGACCCAUUAGGCUUCGGUCUAGAAACAGACAUUUGCUGUUAUGGGUAUCUUGGGUGUUUCUCAAUAUUGUGACUGGUUCAUCCUUGGGUUUUUGUUUCUCAAAAGGCCAGUCAGUUCCUUACCCCCAGUCUAGAGACGUCUGCCACGAUGUCCAUUUAAAACAUCAAUAGUUGCCAGCCAGGCAUGGUGGCGCACACCUUUAAUCCCAGCCCUCGGGAGUCACAGGCAGGUGUAUCUGAGUUCAAGGACAGCCAGAGCUACACAGAGAAACUGAGUCUUGGAAAACAAACAAACUGUUUUGUUUCUUUUUGUGUGUUUUUUCUUUUCUGUGUCUGCAUGUGAAGCAUUUGUAAGUCCGUGGGCCACAGCACCUGUGUGGGGGCAGAAGACAAGGGUUGGUGGCUUGGCCUCGGGUGCUUGGGCUGCUGACUUGUCGUGCCAGCCGUGCUGUUUCUGUUUGUUCACUUGGUUGUAAGCUCUGUGGACGGGGAGCUCGCUGAUCUGUUUGCUGUUGUAUUUUCAGUACCAAGAACACACAUCCCACAUUUGCAGAUGUUUGUGUCAUGGGUGCCUAAGCAUUUCUUGUCAGCAUCUGGAAAUAUAGCCAUCAACAAAACCCAGCCCUUGACUGGGAUAACUCUGGGGCUACGGCUAGAACUCAGUAAUGGAGUUUGUUUAGGAUGUAUGAGGUCCUGAGUCUCAUCUCAGUAUCUCGAAGGAAGAAAGAAGCUCUUUUAAAAGAGACAUACUCUUGGGGCUGGAGAGAUAGCUCAGCGAUUAAGAAAGAGCAUUGGCUGCUCUUGCAGACUUUCUAAAUUCAAUUCCCAGCAAGCAAAUGGUGGCUCACAACCAUCUGUAAUAGAAUCUGAUGCCCUCUUUUGGUGUGUCUGAAGACACCAACAGUGUAAUCAAGUACAUAAAAUAAAUCACUU